UACGUAGGGUGCGAGCGUUUGUCCGGAAUUACUGGGCGUAAAGAGCUCGUAGGUGGUUUGUCGCGUUGUUCGUGAAAACUCACAGCUUAACUGUGGGCGUGCGGGCGAUACGGGCAGACUUGAGUACUGCAGGGGAGACUGGAAUUCCUGGUGUAGCGGUGGAAUGCGCAGAUAUCAGGAGGAACACCGGUGGCGAAGGCGGGUCUCUGGGCCGAUACUGACGCUGAGGAGCGAAAGCGUGGGGGAGCGAACGG
rnacentral:rRNA from 1 species